GGUUGAAGUUUCAGCUUUUCGCAUCUUUUUGUUAAUUCUCUUGACUAGCGUUUCAUUUAGAGUGGCAAUGUUCAAGUACAAGGCAAGUGUGCAAAAAGAAAAUUGUGAAUCAAUACAUAAAUAAUUAAAUUAAAAGAGAGAAGAAAGAAGUAUAUCCUCACAGAAGAUGAAAUGAUAGAGCAUAUAUCAAUUUUCCCCCUUCUCUUGUAACAUGGAUUGCUCUGAGAGCUAAUGUUUUGUUAUUGAUAUCUGAUUUCAAUCUGAUUAUCUACAUAAAAUAUGUCUAGAGAUUCUUUCGAUGGAGAUCAAGUCUCAAAACGCCAUGCCCACUGCCCCCAUGGAUCCAGUAGGUAAUAAUGCUGCCGAGCAUUGAAUUUCUAAACGUCUUACCUUCAGUUUUUUCUUCUCGAUUUGUUAUCAAACUCUUUUACAUUUUGUUGUUGCAUAUUGCUAUAUAUAUCGCCUUGCUGAAAAAAUCUCAUGACCACCUCCACGAUGCUAAUUUUGCAAUGCAUGUGAAGUGUUUCAUCCUUAACUUGUUAAGGAACAAGGACUCUCUGAUGCAUGACUAUUUUAUAUUUUAUGACUGAGAUGGUAGAUUUUAAAGAUUUUCUUGUUUAGGAGGUAAGAUUUCACUUUCUUGCCUUUUUUCCGAGAGAAAGUAUUUGAUCCUUUUUUCAUAAAUAAUAAUGUUGUCAAGCAUUGAAUUUCUAAACAUCUUACCUUUUGUUUUGUUUGUCGCGUUGUUAUCAAACUCUUUUACAUUUUAUUGUGGCAUACUGCUAUGUGUAUGGCAUGCUUUAAGCAAAAAGUUGAGUAAUUGAUGAAUGUU